rnacentral:rRNA from 1 species
GACGAACGCUGGCGGCGUGCUUAACACAUGCAAGUCGAGCGAGAAGACGUAGCACUACGUUUGUAAAGCGGCGAACGGGUGAGGAAUACAUGGGUAACCUACCCUCGAGUGGGGAAUAACUAGCCGAAAGGUUAGCUAAUACCGCGUACGCUCCUUGGACUUCGGUUCAGGGAGGAAAGCGAUACCGUGGGUAUCGCGCUCUUGGAUGGGCUCAUGUCCUAUCAGCUUGUUGGUGAGGAACGGCUCACCAAGGCUUCGACGGGUAGCUGGUCUGAGAGGACGAUCAGCCACACUGGCACUGCGACACGGGCCAGACUCCUACGGGAGCAGCAGUAAGGAAUAUUGCGCAAUGGGCGAAAGCCUGACGCAGCGACGCCGCGUGGGGGAUGAAGGUCCUCUGGAUUGUAAACUUCUUUUAUAUGGGGCGAAAAGGGGCUUUCUAGCUCAACUGACGGUACCAUAUGAAUAAGCACCGGCUAACUCCGUGCCAGCAG